UCACUCUGCUCACAGAGGCUCACACCUGCCUCCACAACUGCCCCCACUUGAGAAGGCAAAAGUCAGUGCUUGGAAAAAGCGUGCCGUGCAAAGGAGAAGAGUGCCUUGCUGAAGAAACGGCAGCAAAAGAAGGGGUCCACCCUCCAUGACAUUACAGGGCUAUCAAGGCUUAACACAGACUGAGAGGCAGCUCAGAUGAAGUUAAGACUUGGCUGGAGGCAGAAGGAUCCUCUCCUGCUUUCUACAGAAUCAGGAGGGAAGCAAGUGCUGGGGAAUUAAUCCCAGAGCCCUGAAGAAACUACUACUGAGCUACACCACCAUCCCCAAAGCUGUUCUUCAGAGCCAAGAUGUUGGAACAUGGACAGGAGCAAGUAGAGCUUCCUCAACAUGAUAACAGAUAUAAAGGAGGUUGUUUUUUGUUUUUCCCUAGCUCUCUGGCUCAGGGAUCAGAAAACUGGUAAAACUGCUUGAUAAGUAUACUAAAAGCUGUUGUUGCUGAUGCUUCUUCUCCUCUUCUUUUUCUUAGUCAAUGAUAUUCUAAAAAGUAAAGGCAGCUACAUGCUACACUAUAUACUUAGCUACAUGCUAAGGCCACAUGUCCUUCUUUGCCCUAUCUCUCAAUGCAUGGCUAUACUAAUAAUGACCUUUUUGUCAACAAUAUAAUUUCAUUGCUGGUGGUUUUCCUCA